UACGUAGGGGGCAAGCGUUGUCCGGAUUUAUUGGGCGUAAAGAGCGUGUAGGCGGUUUGGUAGGUCCGCUGUGAAAACUCGAGGCUCAACCUCGAGACGCCGGUGGAAACCAUCAGACUAGAGUCCGGAAGAGGAGAGUGGAAUUCCGUGGUGUAGCGGUGAAAUGCGCAGAUAUCAGGAAGAACACCCGUGGCUAAGGCGGCUCUCUAGUACGGUACUGACGCUGAGACGCGAAAAGCGUGGGGGAGCGAACAGG
rnacentral:rRNA from 1 species